rnacentral:rRNA from 1 species
CUUAGACUUUGAUCCUGGCUCAGGAUGAACGCUGGCGGUAUGCUUAACACAUGCAAGUCGAACGGUGUCUUCGGACAUAGUGGCGGACGGGUGAGUAACGCGUGAGAAUCUAGCUUCAGGUCUGGGACAACCACUGGAAACGGUGGCUAAUACCGGAUGUGCCGGAAGGUGAAAGGCUUGCUGCCUGAAGACGAGCUCGCGUCCGAUUAGCUAGUAGGUGGGGUAAGAGCCUACCUAGGCGACGAUCGGUAGCUGGUCUGAGAGGAUGACCAGCCACACUGGGACUGAGACACGGCCCAGACUCCUACGGGAGGCAGCAGUGGGGAAUUUUCCGCAAUGGGCGAAAGCCUGACGGAGCAAUACCGCGUGAGGGAGGAAGGCUCUUGGGUUGUAAACCUCUUUUCUCAGGGAAGAACCCAAUGACGGUACCUGAGGAAUCAGCAUCGGCUAACUCCGUGCCAGCAGCCGCGGUAAUACGGAGGAUGCAAGCGUUAUCCGGAAUGAUUGGGCGUAAAGCGUCCGCAGGUGGCUGUGUAAGUCUGCUGUCAAAGAGCAAAGCUCAACUUUGUAAAGGCAGUGGAAACUACACGGCUAGAGUGCGUUCGGGGCAGAGGGAAUUCCUGGUGUAGCGGUGAAAUGCGUAGAGAUCAGGAAGAACACCGGUGGCGAAGGCGCUCUGCUAGGCCGCAACUGACACUGAGGGACGAAAGCUAGGGGAGCGAAUGGGAUUAGAUACCCCAGUAGUCCUAGCUGUAAACGAUGGAUA